rnacentral:rRNA from 1 species
AUUGAACGCUGGCGGCAGGCCUAACACAUGCAAGUCGAGCGGAUGAAGGGAGCUUGCUCCUGGAUUCAGCGGCGGACGGGUGAGUAAUGCCUAGGAAUCUGCCUGGUAGUGGGGGAUAACGUCCGGAAACGGGCGCUAAUACCGCAUACGUCCUGAGGGAGAAAGUGGGGGAUCUUCGGACCUCACGCUAUCAGAUGAGCUUAGGUCGGAUUAGCUAGUUGGUGGGGUAAAGGCCUACCAAGACGACGAUCCGUAACUGGUCUGAGAGGAUGAUCAGUCACACUGGAACUGAGACACGGUCCAGACUCCUACGGGAGGCAGCAGUGGGGAAUAUUGGACAAUGGGCGAAAGCCUGAUCCAGCCAUGCCGCGUGUGUGAAGAAGGUCUUCAGAUUGUAAAGCACUUUAAGUUGGGAGGAAGGGCAGUAAGUUAAUACCUUGCUGUUUUGACGUUACCAACAGAAUAAGCACCGGCUAACUUCGUG